GAUUAGGAGGUAGGAGGAGCCCCUCUGAACAUGAGCCAGCAACUCAGGGCAUGGUGCUGGAGUCCACAGUCAGAGACCUCAUUCCAGAAAAUCCUGGCCUUCUCUAGGUUGCUGUGAAUGAGGCAAAGUUUUCUCCUUGGUGGGCUGGUGUUUGACUCACCUCCAUGGCUGUUCCCCUCCAAGGAAUACUCCUAUUAAGCUCAUCACUUCAUCAUACCUGAACAAAGUGAUGCUCCUGUGAAGUGCAGCUUGUACAAAACACUGUUCUGGUGUGAAACAGAGCCUGAAACUUCUCUGGUGGUUCAUUUUGAGAUACCAGAAAAAGAUUAUCUACGCUGAGAAGAGUGGCAAGGGUGCCCUCACCUCCAGUGAGAUUCUGGACAAUUUCGUGAGUCCUUCUGCACUCAGGUUCACUCCAGCUUUUUCUUAGUUGAAGGACCCUCUUCCUGUAUGCAAUUUCCUGCACUUGAGGCAGUAACAAUUCAGCUCUUUUGGGAAUUUUGUGAGCAGUUUGCACUCCAAAACUGGCACUAGGACUCAAGAGAGGAAGCACCCAGCAGUGCCUGCUGAGAUGGAGGGUACCUCACAGCAGGAUGAAGGUGAAAUAAUUUGUUGAAAGCUGCUGUGCAGGAGUAGUGGCCUGGGAAUGAUUCAGCCUCCUGGUGCCAGUUCUUCCCACUGCCUCCCAGUCUACAAACAAGGGUGUUUGGCCUCACAAAGGCAUAAAUUCAGCAAAACCUAGAUUUUGUCACCAUAUAGCUGUCAUGGCUCAGGAGGAGCAGUUCCCUAGCUUGUGCUUUGGAAAGGGGCUCUCUAGGUAAUGUUGUAGUUUUGUAAGGAAUAAUCCAAUCUCUUUAGAUAUUUAGGAAGAAGCCAAAUAAGGAGGGAGACAAACCAAGAUGUGCAAAGGACCAAAAAUAGCAUGGGGAAAAGAAGCCCUGACAGCUCUGUGCUCAACAUGUCUGAUGUUUACUCACUCCAUGGGAGCUGGCCCUGCAGAGAAGAUGUAUUUAUAGGGAUGUGUUCACACGACUUUGCUUUGCACACACUACUGAUUUAGAUGUCUAAUUUAGGAGCACAGGCACCCUCUGUCGUCAGCAGAGCCUGAAUGAAGGUCUCUGAGCUACCCCCUGACAGGAGGCACCUUUCUCCAGCGAGUUCAAAGCCACCUGAGGUUCCUAAUUUAGGUGCAUAAGCCACAUGUGCAGUGUGUGAGCCUUGAGUAAACAGCACUCAGGGAUUAAGGGCUGGCCCUGGCACUGCUUCCCCCACAGGCAGUGAACUCUUUGGAGAUCAGUGUAUGGCUAAAGAGAAAGAUCACCUUCCUUCCGUGCUGGAUGUAGCCAGGUUCAUGGGCCUCAGUGACUCGAGGGCAGACACACACUUGCAUAGGAGCAUGCCCAAAAUACCAUUUAUUCAGUGAGGGAAAAGGGAACUCCCUGCCCUGCACCCAGCUGUGCAUGCUCAGCCUCAGGUGGCAGGGCAGGUAGAGGCACAGCCCCUGCAAGCUGCUGCGUGCACAGCUGGCUAAAUGGCUGUUAUCCUGGCAUGAACAGAGCUGCAAAAAUAAAAAAGGGAAGAAAACUCCACCCCAAAGCAGCCCUCACCUCUGCAGAAGUGGAGGUUAACAAAGUGAGGACCUGUGAGCCCCUGGCUCCUCCAUCUGCCUCAGCCAAGGGCUUUUCCUGUGACCCCGCACAGAUUGAGGAGCUCUUGCUGCUUCUCCACCUCUCUGCAAUGAGAAUGAUUUUAUUCACAGAAGGUGAUGUCACGAGAUUGUUGGGAGGGGAUGUGACUCAAUGUUUGUAUAAUGCUUUGAAGAUGAAGAGUGCUAAGUAUUGUUAUUUGAGAUGGCAACAAAAUAAAACAAAAUAUGUUCAGUGCA